rnacentral:tRNA from 1 species
AGGGGUAUAGCUCACUGGUAGAGUGCGUGCUCAGCAUGCGCAAGGUCCUGGGUUCAAUCCCCAGUACCCCCA